UACGGGGGGAGCAAGCGUUGUUCGGAUUUACUGGGCGUAAAGGGCGCGUAGGCGGCCAGCACAAGUCAGUUGUGAAAUCUCCGGGCUUAACUCGGAAAGGUCAACUGAUACCGUGUGCGGCUAGAGUGCAGAAGGGGCAACUGGAAUUCUCGGUGUAGCGGUGAAAUUCGUAGAUAUUCGCAAGAACACCAGUGGCGAAGGCGGCUCACUGGCCCG
rnacentral:rRNA from 1 species